GCAAGCGUUGUCCGGAAUUAUUGGGCGUAAAGAGCUCGUAGGCGGCUUGUCACGUCGGAUGUGAAAGCCCGAGGCUUAACCUCGGGUCUGCAUUCGAUACGGGCUAGCUAGAGUGUGGUAGGGGAGAUCGGAAUUCCUGGUGUAGCGGUGAAAUGCGCAGAUAUCAGGAGGAACACCGGUGGCGAAGGCGGAUCUCUGGGCCAUUACUGACGCUGAGGAGCGAAAGCGUGGGGAGCGAACAGG
rnacentral:rRNA from 1 species